rnacentral:rRNA from 1 species
UACGGGGGGAGCAAGGCGUUGUUCGGAUUUACUGGGCGUAAAGGGCGCGUAGGCGGCCUGUGCAAGUCAGUUGUGAAAUCUCCGAGCUUAACUCGGAACGGUCAACUGAUACUGCUCGGCUAGAGUGCGGAAGGGGCAACUGGAAUUCUUGGUGUAGCGGUGAAAUGACGUAGAUAUCAAGAGGAACACCGGUGGCGAAGGCGGGACUCUGGGCCGAUACUGACGCUGAGGAGCGAAAGCGUGGGGAGCGAACAGG